rnacentral:misc_RNA from 1 species
AACGCACAUUGCGCCCCUUGGUAUUCCGAGGGGCAUGCCUGUUCGAGCGUCAUUAUAACCCAUCACGCCUGGCGUGGUCUUGGGGUUCGCGUCCAGCGGCCCUCGAAAUCAGUGGCGGUGUCCGUUGGGCUCUGAGCGUAGUAAUUAUCCUCGCUUCUGGGCUCCCCGGGUGCUUGCCAUAACCCCAACUUUCUCAGGUUGACCUCGGAUCAGGUAGGGAUACCCGCUGAACUUAA